rnacentral:tRNA from 1 species
GGGAUUGUGGCUUAGUGGUAGAGCGCUCGCCUAGCAAGCUUGAGGCACAGAGUUCGAGCCUCAGUACCA